AAGGCUAAAUACUCCUGACUGACCGAUAGUGAACCAGUACCGUGAGGGAAAGGCGAAAAGAACCCCGGCGAGGGGAGUGAAAAAGAACCUGAAACCGUGUACGUACAAGCAGUGGGAGCACGCUUAGGCGUGUGACUGCGUACCUUUUGUAUAAUGGGUCAGCGACUUAUAUUCUGUAGCAAGGUUAACCGAAUAGGGGAGCCGAAGGGAAACCGAGUCUUAACUGGGCGUUAAGUUGCAGGGUAUAGACCCGAAACCCGGUGAUCUAGCCAUGGGCAGGUUGAAGGUUGGGUAACACUAACUGGAGGACCGAACCGACUAAUGUUGAAAAAUUAGCGGAUGACUUGUGGCUGGGGGUGAAAGGCCAAUCAAACCGGGAGAUAGCUGGUUCUCCCCGAAAGCUAUUUAGGUAGCGCCUCGUGAAUUCAUCUCCGGGGGUAGAGCACUGUUUCGGCAAGGGGGUCAUCCCGACUUACCAACCCGAUGCAAACUGCGAAUACCGGAGAAUGUUAUCACGGGAGACACACGGCGGGUGCUAACGUCCGUCGUGAAGAGGGAAACAACCCAGACCGCCAGCUAAGGUCCCAAAGUCAUGGUUAAGUGGGAAACGAUGUGGGAAGGCCCAGACAGCCAGGAUGUUGGCUUAGAAGCAGCCAUCAUUUAAAGAAAGCGUAAUAGCUCACUGGUCGAGUCGGCCUGCGCGGAAGAUGUAACGGGGCUAAACCAUGCACCGAAGCUGCGGCAGCGACGCUGAUGCGUUGUUGGGUAGGGGAGCGUUCUGUAAGCCUGUGAAGGUGUGCUGUGAGGCAUGCUGGAGGUAUCAGAAGUGCGAAUGCUGACAUAAGUAACGAUAAAGCGGGUGAAAAGCCCGCUCGCCGGAAGACCAAGGGUUCCUGUCCAACGUUAAUCGGGGCAGGGUGAGUCGACCCCUAAGGCGAGGCCGAAAGGCGUAGUCGAUGGGAAACAGGUUAAUAUUCCUGUACUUGGUGUUACUGCGAAGGGGGGACGGAGAAGGCUAUGUUGGCCGGGCGACGGUUGUCCCGGUUUAAGCGUGUAGGCUGGUUUUCCAGGCAAAUCCGGAAAAUCAAGGCUGAGGCGUGAUGACGAGGCACUACGGUGCUGAAGCAACAAAUGCCCUGCUUCCAGGAAAAGCCUCUAAGCAUCAGGUAACAUCAAAUCGUACCCCAAACCGACACAGGUGGUCAGGUAGAGAAUACCAAGGCGCUUGAGAGAACUCGGGUGAAGGAACUAGGCAAAAUGGUGCCGUAACUUCGGGAGAAGGCACGCUGAUAUGUAGGUGAAGUCCCUCGCGGAUGGAGCUGAAAUCAGUCGAAGAUACCAGCUGGCUGCAACUGUUUAUUAAAAACACAGCACUGUGCAAACACGAAAGUGGACGUAUACGGUGUGACGCCUGCCCGGUGC
rnacentral:rRNA from 1 species